UACGAGGGGGGCAAGCGUUGUUCGGAUUUAUUGGGCGUAAAGGGUGCGUAGGCGGUUUGGCAAGUCUUGUGUGAAAUCUUUGGGCUCAACCCAAAGUCUGCACAAGAAACUGCCGGGCUUGAGUAUGGGAGAGGUGAGUGGAAUUUCCGGUGUAGCGGUGAAAUGCGUAGAUAUCGGAAGGAACACCUGUGGCGAAAGCGGCUCACUGGACCAUUACUGACGCUGAGGCACGAAAGC
rnacentral:rRNA from 1 species